rnacentral:rRNA from 1 species
UGGGGAAUAUUGGACAAUGGGGGCAACCCUGAUCCAGCAAUGCCGCGUGUGUGAAGAAGGUCUUCGGAUUGUAAAGCACUUUCGACGGGGACGAUGAUGACGGUACCCGUAGAAGAAGCCCCGGCUAACUUCGUGCCAGCAGCCGCGGUAAUACGAAGGGGGCUAGCGUUGCUCGGAAUGACUGGGCGUAAAGGGCGUGUAGGCGGUUUACACAGUCAGAUGUGAAAUCCCCGGGCUUAACCUGGGAGCUGCAUUUGAUACGUGUAGACUAGAGUGUGAGAGAGGGUUGUGGAAUUCCCAGUGUAGAGGUGAAAUUCGUAGAUAUUGGGAAGAACACCGGUGGCGAAGGCGGCAACCUGGCUCAUGACUGACGCUGAGGCGCGAAAGCGUGGGGAGCAAACAGGAUUAGAUACCCUGGUAGUCCACGCUGUAAACG